UACGUAGGGGCCUAGCGUUGUCCGGAUUUAUUGGGCGUAAAGAGCUCGUAGGCGGUUUGUUGCGUCGGCUGUGAAAUCCCGAGGCUCAACCUCGGGUCUGCAGUCGAUACGAGCAAACUAGAGUGUUGCAGGGGAGACUGGAAUUCCUGGUGUAGCGGUGAAAUGCGUAGAGAUCCGGAGGAACACCAGAGGCGAAGGCGGCCUACUGGGCUGCACCUGACGCUGAGCCGCGAAAGCCAGGGGAGCGAACGGG
rnacentral:rRNA from 1 species